GAGCCCCGGAGUGAGUUGAAACCUUCACAGGUGGCUCGAGAAUCCGAGGUUUGCGGGGAGGGGGAGGUUAAGUGCUCCCUUUUCCAGAGACAAGUGCGGAGCCAAGGAGGCAGGCCAAGCCCCGGAAAGCAACGGAAAAUGAACUGUUUCUAAAGCUUUUUGAUGCUAGCAGUACACGGAAGAGUCAGAGGGGGAGGCCUAGGGAAGGAGGCCGCUGGCAGCAGCCCGUGCUGCCCUCAAGCUCAGGCCGCGUGGCAGGGCCUAGGUGCGGGCGGCAGCUGCAGCCUUCGCCCGCUCCGCACGCCGCUUGGGCAGCACCCGGGGGCGGUCGCCUCCAGCCCUCGCCGGGCCGCGCUUCCCGGCCUUGGGGCAUGAGAGCGUCUCGAUGUCCUUCGCCUAGUGAGGAAGACCUGGCUUGUCUUCUCGUCUGAGAGCAGUAUCUGCCUGCGAUGUGAUUCCAUAAUGUAAUCUGGGCUGAUCCCAAGAACUGAACUGGGCUCUCCACAGGAUCCAUCUGCUACCACAAUUACUUUUGGCCGGUCUGAAGGGAGAAUGCCAUACCCAGAGAAUGGCUGUGAUUAAUGCAGUGCUUUGGUUCCCACUUGCAUAAUAGGUUUUCAAGACAUUGUUUUCUUCAGAGCAACUGUCCCUGCAGCCAUAAUACCAUUCCCUGGAUUUACUGUGUACAGUCUGAGAGAGGCAGAGGUCACAGCGAGCUUGAAAAGAGAGCAUCUGGGUUCAGAUGUGGAAUACUAAGAAAUAUGACUGCAGAAGAUGACCAGGUUUGCAUAUUCUCACUAAAUUGCAUCUCCUUCUGCCACUGUUAGAGACAGUGUACUGGGCUAGGUGGAGCAUUGUUCUGACCUGGUGGGGCAUUUUACGUUAAGCAUGAUUGCUCAGUACUGCAUUAUAGGGGAUCUUCUGGGUCUUUGACAGAGCUCUGCUCUAAGCACUAUAAAUGAUGUUCCUCAUAAAUACUCCUAAUGCGUUUAGGAGCAAUCCAUCUCAUCUCCAGAAGCACCAUAUCUUUCUUGUUACAGUCAUGUCACUGGUGUUUCUGACCUUUAGGAACUCCAGGUCCAGGUUGUGAUGAUCCAAUUUGAAUCUUAAAGUGUGUCAGGUAGGACUCAAACAUUGGAAUGCAUUGACUCAUGAAAUUUAAUAUUUGACUUCCCUUCCUAAUGACAAUCAAUGCCUGCAAUAGAUCAUCUGGGUAAUAUGUAGAAGAUUAUAGAUCAAAAUUUUGUAUAUGAUACAGACAGUAAUAAGUAUUUUUUUGUUAUGUCAGCAGAGUUAUAUUAAAUAGGGCACAAAGCUUUUUUGUUGAGUCUUUUUUUGCAAUUAAGAGACUCAAGUAACUUCAUUAGUCUUCAUUAGUAUGAAAAUCUAAAAAUCAGGAGAUGAAUUUCGCACCAUUGCUCCUGAGAUUUCCAUGAGCUUCCACCAGUCUGCCAAAACUAGUCAUCAGUAUGAUGAACUGAUGAGAGACAAACUUAGUUUUGCUGAUGGAACUAAUAAUUUACUUUUGCUUUAGCUAUUGUUACAUAGAUACACUGACAACCAGAUUCUAGAUGAAGAGCUACAAUGUUCAUUUUUGAAAGUCGUUUCUAAAAGCAAAAAGGCAUAAUUAUUUCAUUUACCAGACAUCUGUAUCUCUGCUGACAGAACUAAGCGUUUAGCUGUAGUAGAAGGAUGUUUAUGCGAACCUUAUCGCUGUAUAGGCUGAGCAUUUGGAAUCCAAAAAGCAGAGAAAUGUGAGCUAGAAUAUACAGAACAAAAAUACUGAAGGCAUGCUAUCUACUGAUGUCUUUCCACCACAGUGAUUUUGCACUCUCAGAAAUCUUCUCAUUCCUUUCUGCUCUGUUAACUUUUUGCUCAUUUUCAGUCGUGGAGGAUUGCCACAGGGACCAAUGCUGCUUCGGUAGCAUCUUUUAUAUAAAACAGAUCUAGUACAUUUAAAUAUGGAGAUAUAUUUUCCUUAUUCUUAUCUCCCACUCCCUUUUGAGUCUUUUCAGUGACUCCAUGGAUAACAUUCUAGGCAUUCUUUGAUUAGUGAAGUAUUACACUCACAGGCUAGAGCCAUUAAACAACAACUAGUCUGAUCUUUUGCCAAUCAGAGGCCAAAAACCUCAUCCAAAAAUAAUCAGGGAUAUACUUCCCAGUCUGAAAAUGGAAAGGUUUCAAAGGCAGGAGACUGAAUUAUUUGUAUCCUGUAUUUUUUCAGACAUAUAAAGAUGGCAUUUUUCAGCUUUCAGCAUCCCCAAUUAGACUUCAGUAAUUCAGUCUCAGUUUUUUGAAAAUCCUUACCACCUGGCAAAAUACGUCUUUUAAAAUUUGAAUUUUAAAAUUUGAGACCAAAAAGUUUCUCUGCAAAUGAAAGUAAUCACCAACAAACCUUAACAUGAACCUCAGAUUUCUCUAUCAUGAUACCCUGUGAGAAAAGGUGAAUUUGUCACAUUAGCAGUCCCUGCCAAUUCAACUUGAACAACCGAGGGUUUUCUUUCUGAACCAGCCAACUAAUUAACAAAGAAGUGUGAGUGGAAUUUUUUGACACAGGAAAAUCCCAGGUUCCAUUCACAGGCUGUGUGGCUUAAACUGAACACACUAAUACUGCUUGGCACAAGCAUGAAACAGUGUCUAAAUGUGACCUUGAUAAGUUAAAUUUAGCUUCUAGUAUUUUCCCCUUUGCUCCUGCUAUUUAUCCAAUGUUUUUAAUUUAUGGUGUCCUGUAGUUAUUUGAGUGAUAGAAAACACUCACUGUUCUAAAUCUUAAGAAUUCCUUGCCAGUUAGUGAUACUACCAAUUCAGUAGAACAGGAGAUUGUACUGGUGGAUAUAGUGAAAUUACAUAUAUUUAAUCACUCUGUAAGAAAGACUGGGAGAAGACAGACAUUGCUUUAUCAGGUAUGAAAAAUAAACAAAAAAAAAUCCCAAAGGAAUGUACUGAAGUAUGUUCGAACCAAAGGUAUAAAAGAAGUAGGUUUUGGUCUCUAAUACUUCAAAACAAUAAAAUUGUUUUGAAACAGUUUUCCAGAAAUUUUGUCCAGAAAUUGUUUUCAAAUAGGAAAAUUACCCCAUGAAACAUUGUUUCCUGGAGUCUUGAGAAAAGCUUGAGUUCUUUGACACAAAUAGUAAAAUUGAAGUGUAAAAUAGAGUCAAACAUUCAAGAUUAAUAGAGAACAAAUAUGCUCCAUCUCCCAUAGUUCUGCACUCAUGUUGGCAUUUUUAAAGGUGUCCUUUGCAUCUCAAAAAUAUCCACCCUACUUUGGUAAAGCUUUCCAUAGCUAGGUCUCUGGCUAUCUUCCUGCAAGGGCACUAUAUCACAUGUCAGUUUAAUACAUUGGGGAUCUGUGCCAAUUUAUUACUUAAAAGCCAGCUAAUAUAUUUCAGUAAGCAGACUCCUCUUAUAAAAUACUGGUUCUCUGAAAUAAUUAAUCAGCAGAUUGCUCCAUGUAACAAGUUUGUUCUUAGUUUAUUUUAUAUUAUUACUCACUGUACUUUCAACUUCUAGUGUCUCAUGACUUCUAGAAAAGUAUUUUCUGCCUGCAUAUCUCCAUAACUAAUUAAUUCUUAGCAGAAUGCUUACUAAGUAGAUUAGAAAAAUGCUGUAGCUGCAGGCUGUAUUUAUGUUAAUUCAGAGAGAGUUUUAGUCUCAUGCUAGUCACCUUCUAACCUUUGUAACAGCAAUAUUUGAACACAGGAUCAAUGUUCAUCAACAUAUUGCCAAAAUACUUUUCCAUGUUCACUACUUCAUUUCAAUCCAUUAAGAUUUUGUUCCCCUGCUGCGGUACAGCUUACUGAAAUUUGGUGGAAUACGUACAAUUCUGAGAUCAGAGCUCCCAGAAAACACUUGGAAUCACAGAGGUUCUCAAGUGCUGAGACCCAGCCCAGGAGCUUAGCUGUUAGAAGCCCAAACUGGAAAUUACAGUUCUUUAGGCUCAUCCGUGAUCCUACGGCUAACAUGCUGCAUGUCAUUAGAACGGUGAAGAUACACGCUGUCUCUUUUUUUACCUACCUAUUAAAUAUUACAAUAUGGAUAGUCUCAGCAUGCAGAAAGGGAUGGUCUGUAGACUCUAGAUGACAAAAUUAUUUGUUUAUAUACACAGGUAAUUAGCUGGCAGGUUAGACAAAGCAAGCUAAAUUUCAGAAGCUAUGAAGAAAGAAAGAAAAGAAAACACAGCUGAAAUUAAUUACAUUCCAUUUCUGCAGCUUGAAAUUCAUGCAGUAUUUA